rnacentral:rRNA from 1 species
GACGAACCGAGCGAACGUUGUUCGGAAUCACUGGGCUUAAAGGGCGCGUAGGCGGGCUGCCAAGUCUGGGGUGAAAUCCCGCGGCCCAACCGUGGAACUGCCUCAGAUACUGGCGGCCUCGAGGGAGGUAGGGGCGAGCGGAACUAAUGGUGGAGCGGUGAAAUGCGUUGAUAUCAUUAGGAGCUCCGGUGGCGAAGGCGGCUCGCUGGACCUUUUCUGACGCUGAGGCGCGAAAGCUAGGGGAGCAAACGGG